AUAAAAAUAAAAACCUAAUUCUAAACCUAAACCUAAACCUAUUUCUUCAAAACCAAAGAAGCCGCAGCCCCCCUUAAAGGCUGAUCUGUUUUCUGUUUUCGGAAACAAAGCCGCCGUCCCCUGGGGUCCUUAGUGGUUGCUCUCCCGAAACAAAGCCAAGGAACCCCUACCAUUUCAUCGUUUUGUCUUCUCCCCUACACUUGCAGCAGCUCCUCCCUCAUCACAAACUCCCCUCUUCCUCUAGUGUUCUUUGCCAAAGAAAACCAUAGUAGCCUCCUUUUUCCUUGGCCAAAUCAGUCGCCUUCCUCCUCAUUUCCUUUUCCUAGUUGGUCGCAAGACAGUUCCUCACUCUCCAUCCCAGUUGUUCCCUUCCAUCACCAACCACUCCCCACGGCACCAGCACAGCACAGAACCGUUUUCCCCGUCUCCAUCUACCAGCCUUUUAGAGGCAGUCGGACAAUAGCAGCAAGGCCAACCACCGCUGCCACCAACAGGAGUGAAGACCAACCCGGCAACGCCAACAGAUCAGCAGCCCUUUGGUCACACGCCGGCCACCUGAAGUGAAGGGGACAAAGAUAUAAGCCA